UUGUGUGAAUGAUGCAGGAUCUGCAGCCCGGGCUGCACCCACACCCUUCUUUCAACUUAAAGAGACUCUGAAGGAGGUGGAGCAAACGUGUGUCUGGAGCUCCGCUUGGGCUGGGAUAUGAACUGGGAGACGUCUGAGAGGGCAACAUGUGUUACGCUGCCUGCGUUGUGUGUUGUGUUGCGUGAGUGUGCGUCUGACUGAGUGCAUAUGUGUGCAUGCAUUGUACGCCGCGGGUGUUUGGACCGACUUAGAGGCGCCGUACUGUAAAACUUUCUGACCUGUUGAUUUAUCUUCACUAAAAAGGGCCCGUGAAAGAUCUGUCGGUGUUGAGAAAGGACCGCAGGAAUGAACCACGGCAGGCAAGACGGUGUGGAGGAGGAGAGCGAGCGCAUGGGGCCGGGUGGGUGGAGCCCGCGCCAUGCAGGAAGGAAACACAGGAAACGUUCUAGCAGGAAAACAAUGUAAUCAUGAACCCUGGGCUCAUUUACUGUCUGGUUGGUAAUAUAGGCAGCAUGUGUGUGUGUGUGUGUGUGUGUGUGUGUGUGUGUGUGUGUGUGUGUGUGUGUGUGUGUGUGUGUGUGUGUGUGCGUGUGCGUGUCAGAACCAAACCAUACGUUAACGGGCUGCAGAUUUCAUAAUUAAAUCAAUGAAUUGCUUGAGAACAAAAUACAUUCGAGAAAAGUACAUUGUUUGUAAAAGACAAGGGACUUUCUCUGGCGAACUUCAAGUGGCUGAAUGGGGGACAGCCUCUAGCAAACUUCAACCAGCUCAGCCCCCCUGCGGCUCCAGACAGAGGAGUGAUUCCCCUUGGCGGACUGGCAGUGGUGCCGUCGUUUGGGCUCAACCUCCUGUGCCUACUGAGCUGAUAACAGUUAGAUGUCAAAACAAGCACUGGCUCAGUUCAGCAGGAACCGGAGUUACGCCUUCAAUAAACAGCGAGGACAUAUCCGUCCCCACGCAAGAUUAUGCACUUGUAGUAAAUGUUGCAGUAAACUUUUUUAGUAAAUGUUUCUCUCUGUAUGUGUUAGACUAAACUGUGUUGUUUUAGGUGCCAUGGUUUUUGUUAUUUUAUUUAAAACAUAAAUGUUCAUACUUCCUCUAUGAAUCAUAGGGAGAUUGCAAUCAGUGAGUACAGAGAGCUUUGAUGUUGUCCCACACCCACACCCACACCCACACACACACACACACACACACACACACACACACACACACACACACACACACACACAUCCUGAAACCAACCUGUUGGCCAUCGAUUCUCAAGGCCUCGUGAUGGAGGAAAUUUGCUCCUGUUGGUUGUGUGUUUACUCAAAGAUCACAGGAGCAGAGAUUUUUCCAGAUGCACUUCCCCGAUAGCACAUCAGAUCGCCCUCUGUGGGAGCACAUAAUAAAGCAAGGAAGAAGUGAACCUUCUGACUUUGAGAGCAUUAGGGCUUUUUAAUGCCAGUGUAAUAUUUGUAAAGACGGCCUGAGUCUGUUUUUUUCAGUUAUGUAAGUAACUGCUCCUUUAAAUGUGCAACUCUGACUCUCAGCUUUUAAGAAAAUACCAUAACUAACACCGAACUAACGUUACACAUCAUUUUUUUAAUAAUGUCCAUACAGUCAACAGUUUGUCUCUUUAUAUUAAAGAUAUUGAUGAAGUGUAACGUUGAUUCAGUAAUCAUUUUGUAUUAAGCGAACAAAUGGGGACUGGGAACGAAUUUCCCCAUCGUGUCAUGUUAUUUACCAUACAUGAAUGCCAAGUCAUAUGCCCCACAACUGUACAGCGAAAAUACAGUUUCUAUGUGAAACCAAACACAUUUCAUAUUUCGGUGUAUAUCUUACCUUGGACAAAUAAAGACAAUGUUCUACUCCGUA